rnacentral:sRNA from 1 species
GCCGGGUGUGGUGGUACAUGCCUGUAGUCCCAGCAGCUUGGGAGGCUGAGGCAGGAGGAUUGUGAGUUCAAAGCCAGCCUCAGCAAAAAGUGAGGUGCUAAGCAACUCAGUGAGACCCUGUCUCUA